GGGGGUAUUGCUGGAGGUCCCUGCAUACCUGAGGCCUUCUAAAGGUGCUGCUUGGCGAGAGGCAUGCGUGUUUUAAAACACUGCAGUGAGGCUGCAGCUGCAUUAGCAGGAAAAAAACUCACAUUUGCCCAAAGAAGGAGGCAGAAUCCCAUCUGGAUUUAGCAAGCACUCCCACCCACGGAGGAUAAGGAAAGGUAGAUGUGUGUAUCAGGCUGUGGACGCUUCUACCCCCAAGACCUGAUUUGCCAUUGUGGGAGCAUUUCUAAUAGUUCAUGCAAAGCCUUUUGUGGAAUAAGGCAAACCCAUGGGAGUGCCUCAUCUCUCUGGAGAGAGCUGCUCGGAGAGGAACCAAAGAGAUAAGGAGAGAGAACUUGGAGGAGAAGCACAGCACCAGGCAGCCUACAGCCACAGGAGAGGGGAGGACACCUCUGCAAGGCACCCACAGCUCUAUCCAUCCCCGAGGACAAGCACUGAGCAAGCAACUGCUGGCCCCUGGGGGGGACCUGAAUGGUGAAGGGCAGAAAAGGCAUUUCCCCCAGUGAGGGACCCCAACUCUCUCCUGUCCUUGGCAGCGCUGUCCCCUCCCCACUCACACCCCUGGGGUGGCUGCAUCUCCGUGGGGCCGUACGUGAUUGCUGCACAGCCCCAUGGGAUGAAAGCUGUGUGCUUAGAUAUGGUUUAUCCCUUCCAACCCCUGAUGAUAAUCCGGGAUUAGUCCUUCUAGCGUAUGAUU